CCUACAUCGAGUUCAACUUCAAGUGUGAAAUCCUAAGCGGAUCAAUCUAGAACCAUAAUUGCUGAGAUGCACCCGGAAUUGCUCAAUUUAGCCGAUGAAGGAAGCUUAGUUAUAAUAAGAAAGAUUCAGUUUGGCCCUGUUCGGGCAUGGCGAACCUAGUUUGUGGAGCCUGAGGCUAUUUGAUUGCUCGAGAUCGAACCAUGGCUAAAGUCCAAUCCAUUUUCCUUAUCCGAUUCAGGGUUCCUUGGCGCCAUUAGUCGCAGCAUCAACUUAGUUGGUCAAACAGCUUUAGCACUACGUUUACUAUUAGCCACAUUCUCUUCCAAGAUUUCCUCAAACAUCAAUCGACCUUUUGGUGACGAGCAAGAAAAGCAUCCGAAGAAAUUAGCGCACAGGUGGUAUUAGGAGAUCGGCA